rnacentral:rRNA from 1 species
UCCCGGCGGUCCAAGUCGCAUCCACAAUUAUUGGGUCUAAAACAUCCGUAGCUUGUUUUUUAAGUCUCUUGUGAAAUUCCAUAUCUUAAGUAUGGAGCGUGCAAGAGAUACUAGAAGGCUAGAGACCGGAAGACGCAAAGAGUACGAUCGAGGUAGCGGUAAAAUGUGUUAAUCUUGAUUGGACUAACAGUGGCGAAGGCGCUUUGCGAGUACGGAUCUGACAGUGAGGGAUGAAGGCUAGGGGC